rnacentral:rRNA from 1 species
UACGGAGGGUGCAAGCGUUAUCCGGAUUUACUGGGUUUAAAGGGUGCGUAGGCGGGCAGGUAAGUCAGAGGUGAAAUCUCCGAGCUUAACUCGGAAACUGCCUUUGAUACUAUUUGUCUUGAAUAUUGUGGAGGUAAGCGGAAUAUGUCAUGUAGCGGUGAAAUGCUUAGAUAUGACAGAGAACACCUAUUGCGAAGGCAGCUUACUACGCAUAUAUUGACGCUGAGGCACGAAAGCGUGGGGAGCAAACAGG